rnacentral:rRNA from 1 species
UACGGAGGGUGCAAGCGUUAAUCGGAAUUACUGGGCGUAAAGCGUGCGUAGGCGGUUAUAUAAGCUAGAUGUGAAAGCCCGGGGCUCAACCUCGGAACUGCAUUUAGAACUGUAUGGCUAGAGUACUGUAGAGGGUGGUGGAAUUUCCAGUGUAGCGGUGAAAUGCGUAGAGAUUGGAAGGAACAUCAGUGGCGAAGGCGGCCACCUGGACAGAUACUGACGCUGAGGCACGAAAGCGUGGGGAGCGAACAGG